rnacentral:lncRNA from 1 species
GAUGGACCGGAAGAAGAUGUACCGGAACCAUCGCCAAACAACUGCACAUAAGUAGGUGCUGCUGAUUUCCUCCUAGGAGCCAUCUAAAAAAAUUAAAAUAAAUUUAAUCAAUUACGACAUAAUUAAAAAAUUAUUCCGUUACCUAACUAAUCACCUAAACUAGUAUUCCGUCACCUAACUAAUCACCUAACUAAUUACCUAACUAAUCACCUAAACUAAUUACCUAACUAAUUAAUCACCUAAACUAACUUUAAAAAAAAAAAAAAAGAGAGAAGAAAGUUUACCUUAGAGGGAGAGCAAAGGAGUUUGGGAGGAAUGAACGAGGUAGCCUAGCUCUCGGCGUCUCAAUAUAUAGAUAACGAUUCGUCGUAAACGCGACGUAAUAUUACGACGAAGUUACCAGGCCCGCGUUUUUCCAUUUACGACGAAGCUACCAGGCCCGUGUUUUUCCAUUUACGAACGAAAUUACCAGGCCCGUGUUUUUCUGUUUACGACGAAAUUACGUUGAAUAGGUUUACCAAGCUUUUCCAUUUACGACGAAGUUACCAGGGCCGCGUUUUUUUUCAUUUACGACGAAUUUACCAGGCCCGUCUUUUUCCAUUUACGACGAAAUUACCACGCCCGUGUUUUUCGGUUUACGACGAAAUUACGUUGAAUAGGUUUACCAGCUAUUGUUGUAGUUGUUUCUAAAAAUGCAUCACUAAUAAUAUCUUGAACCCUAUCAUGAUUUACCAUCUGCUCCUCUUGAUGAUAAUUAUAUUCAUUAUGCACAUGAUUCGGUUCUUCAUUAUGAUGAGCAUCCUCAAAAUUAUUAUUACUACUACUAGCUUUAUUUCCCCCAUAACCCUCUCCAUGUUGAUACCAAAUGUAGUACUGUGGUGUAAAUCCUCUGUUUACUAAAUGAUUCCAUACAGUUUCACUACGUGCAAAUUUUGAAUUCUUACAUUUUUGACAGGGCAUAACAUCUUACCGCUUUCCUGCGUGAUCGGUGUACCCGCCUGGUGCAUGAAUGUCUCUAGCCCGUUCAGAAAUGCGUUCGUCACCCUCGCAUCGGAAUCUUUGUGCAAAUACAUCAAACUCCGUAACUCGUAAAUAUUACCACCACCGGCCAUUUUUUUCUUAGAUUUUUUUUUGAAAAUUUUUUUUUGCUGAUUUUUUUUUCCGUUUGUGUGUUGUGAGGAAGAGAGUUGUGGGAAAAUGACAUUAUAUAUAGAGAAUUUUUGAGUUGGGUAAUUGAAAUAUAACAACGAUUUUAAAAGGAAUGUUUUACAUGGAUUUUACAUGAUUUUAACAUAAUAUUUACAACGACUUUACAACGAAUUUAAGUAAGUAAAAGCACAUUAAAUACACGUUUUCACCUAAAUAUAACGGUAACAUGAUUUGUUGUAAUGUCGAUGUAACGUUUACGACUAUUUUCGCUUUCCACGUACUUUCGUCAUAAACUUACAUGGACUUUACGACGAAACAGUUUCAUCGUAAAAGUUCCAUGGAGUUUACGACGAAUUUUGGUCUCGUCGUAAUUGCGUUGUAAACACCUUGCAAAUUUUCGAGGAAUUAUUUUCGUUGUAAAUCUUCGUUGUUACUGAUACGUUUUCUUGUAGUGAGUUGCAUUUUGAUGUAUACAUUGGAAAAGAGAAAUUCUGGGUGGAAGACGCGGUUAGAAAAAGUAUAGUUUCAAUGGAUCAACUGUACAUCGAAUAAUCCUGCAGAUAAACUGGCGAAAGAGAGAAUACAAGACUCUAAGUUGUUCUUGUUUCAUAAUUAUUUUCCAAUGUUUAUUAAUGAAGUACAUUCGGGGUUAAUAAAUAAAAUGAAGUGUUAUAAAAAAAAAAUAAUAUAUGUUUCUUGAGGACAAAGUACCCAGGUGAAGAGGACGGUUACAGUUUGAUAAAACAUGGACUGAACAUGAUGGUUUACUAGACUCCAUUAGUAAAGGCUGGGAUGAAUCAGGAGAAGGAAAUAAUGCAAAUUUUGUCACAAAACUUAUUAAUUACCGUCAUGAAAUUUAUAGAUGGAGAAAAAACAAUCUCUUUAUGUGAAAGAGAGGAUCAAUGAACUACAAAGGAUAUUGGAAGAAGUCCAACGAAUGACAAUAUAACUCAAGAGAAAAUUGUGGAUGUCAUAAAAAAGCUACAAGAAGUGUACAAAGAUGAGGAACAAUAGUGGGACCUGAAGAGUCAGAACAUGUGGUACGCGUCAAGGGAUCUUAACACCAGAUUUUAUCAUAUUGAAACAACAGCAAUCUAAAAGUAGAACUGUGAGUUUACAUGAUGAAGGUGGACCGUGGAUAACAAAGGAUAAAGACGUUGAAAAAGUAGUAGUGGAAUAUUUAAAGAUUUAUUCAGCUCCAUAUUAUCCUCAAAGUUUGAAAAUUUUCAAAUGUGAUCCGACCAAGCAUUACUUCUUAGAUAAACCAUGUGCUGAUUAGGAAUGUGACAUAUGAUGAAAUAAGAAAAACAUUAUUCUUGAUGCAGUCAGAGAAACACACCAGUCCAGACGGCAUGACACGCUUUUCUUUCAGCAACUCAUGGCCUAUCAUAAAAAUGAAUUGUCUUGAUCUGGUGAAUAUUUUUUUGAGAAAAGGAAAAUUGAAUGCUAGGUUGAACAUUACAAAUAUAUAUUUGAUUCCAAAAACACAGAGACCUACCAAAAUGACAAAACUGCGACUGAUAAGUCUAUGUAAUAUAAGAUAUAAAAUCAUUUCCAAGGUAUUGUGUCAAAGGUUAAAGUGAUGUCUUCCAAUACUUAUAUCGGAAACACAAUCAAUUUUCAUGGCAGGAUGAUUGAUCUCGGGCAACGUAAUGAAAUCUUUCAUGGUAUACGAACCAAUAAAUCUUGCCAAAGCAAGUUCAUGACAAUCAAAACAUAUAUGAGUAAAGCGUAUGAGAACUUCCCUAUGCAGUCGAUUUUUGCAAAUGUGGACUACUUGUUCUAGAGGACUACACCACAUGUGGAUAAUCAUCAUUUCACAUGGAUUUUAUGGCAAUAAUAUGGUUUUUCAGCAUCAUACAUGUCAACCCUAGAGAUACUCUUCAAUUGGUAGAAUCAGAAUCAACACUUUGGAAUGAGGCACAUGCAGCACUAAAACAAACGGCCACCCAACCUAGAGAGGAGGAAUUGUCAAUCUUACCUCAAAUAUCAGGUCGAUUGUGUUUCACGAAUAGUUCAUGGAAGAUACGAAUAAUCACUAGGACAAAAUGGUAUAAACACAUUAUACAAAUUUCUGUCCAUUUAAUCCAAGCUAGGUUGAUGGAAUGGGCGAUGGUCCAAAAAACGGUAGGAGGAAUGGAAGAGGUCGAAUAAUGAAUUUAUGUCCCUUUAAUCCAAGCUAUCCUGAAAUAAAAGAAGAACAACGAGUUUAUGAAUGAUAAAAUAAGAACACAAACUAAAAGAUAUAAAGGAUGGAAUGGUUAAUGGAUAGAUGUUUGAUGAUCGAUGAUGGAGAUGGUAUGGAUAGAUGAUUGACUGUCUCCAUAUGUGGUAUUGAUUGACUCUAUCAAUCUGUGAUAUCAAGGCUGAUGAAUAUCUCAAGCAACCUAUAGAACCACGAGCUCAGUAGACUACUAAUGCUUCUCACACUUAAGAGUCUAAAGAACACUUAAAGAACACUCUUUGAAAAGACAAGGUUUUUGCAUACUAAUUUUAUUGAUUGAAAGGUGGUUUGUACAGUCGAAAAUGAGCUUAUAUAUUGCUCAGAAAUCUAAGUCUAACGACCAUAAAGAGAAAAUAAAGAAAACAAUCAAAAACUAAGCAAGACAUCGAAAACUAGCCAUUAGAGCAUGUUGUAGGAUUUGGCUCUAAGUAAAUGAUAUACCUUGGAUUUGACUCGUUUUCAUCCAUGGUAUAUAGGUGUUUUACUAUAUAUAUAUCUAUGUUUUCUACUCUUCUAGGUAUGUUUUCAAGUUCAGGUGCAUUUCGGAGUAAAGCUAUGACUUUGGAGCAUUUUGGAGCUUAAAGGACAUUUCACCCGAGCUGACCAUGUAGAGGUCGACGAGAGGAAGAGAUAAUCGAUCGAUGCGCAUCAGUGCUGUCGAUCGACACCAAGAGAUGCCUCGACAGAUGAAGAUUAAUAUCGAUCGAUGUACACAAGUACCAUCGAUCGAUGUCGAGACAUUGGACACGCGACAUUUUGGAUCCAUCGGACUUAAAACCCAAGGCCAAGCCAAAUUAAGAAAAUGCCCUGACGAGUUUUUAACCUAGUAGAUUCUAUACUGCCUAAGUGUUUUGACGGCAGAGGAGAGCUUUUGUUACAGUUUUACUUUGAGAGAGAAGAGAGAGUUUUGGAGAGAAGAUCACUUUUGAUUGGAACUCCUUGUUUUCAUUUCUUUUCAUCUAUACUAUGAAUUUCCAUUUCUUUAUUGUUAUUAAUUGCUUUGCUAUGUCUCAGUAGUUCAUUUAUUAGAUCUAGGGUUCAUAUAGGUUUGUGGGAUUAGCCCUAAAUUAUAGAUCUGCCUUGUUGUGAUAUUCAUGAUAGAUUUAUAUUCAUUGCUUGUUUUAGCCUUGCUAACUAGAACUUGAUCAUAGGAUUGCAUACUCAAGCACCCUUGUUAUCCCAUCCUGACAUCAUCUAUCAUAUUAGGACUGCUAGAGAGGGCUAACCGCCAAUUUAGUAUCUUAAUAGGGCAUAUCAUACUCGCGCAUAGGCCUUGGUUAGAAUCCGUCGAUCGAUGUCCUCAACUGACUAUCGGUCGACGUAGGCAAAGGUGUAUCGGUUGACAUCCCAAUAGGACCAUCGUUUGACACUCUCUUGUGUCAACAUACUAACCGUUGAGACACGAGAUCUAGCUUGUUAACCAGUGAAACAUGCGACUGCUGAUCACUGAGUUAAGCGGUUGAGCUCUAACAUAUCAUGCAUGCAACAAUUAGGCAUCUAUAGGUAUUAUAAUCUCCAACACCUGAAUAGUGGCCCUGCNNNNNNNNNNNNNNNNNNNNNNNNNNNNNNNNNNNNNNNNNNNNNNNNNNNNNNNNNNNNNNNNNNNNNNNNNNNNNNNNNNNNNNNNNNNNNNNNNNNNACAGACGAGAUCAUCUAAAGAAAACAGCAAGAGAGAAAGAUGACCACAGCUGAUUACGUGAAGACAGCUUAGCCACUGUCCUCGUACCUUAUUCCAGACACACACUGAAACCAGACAAACGCAGACAGAAACCAAAUUUUAAACCAGGCUUAAAAAAAGGAGCAAGUAUCACUCUUCUUCGGACUCGGACUCCGCGUUCUUGAGCCAUUCGAUAAAAGGACUCACGUUCUUCAUCACCGGCGAGCUUUUGAUGCCUUUAUCGUACCAUCCAAAAUGACAUCUUCCUCCAAAAGGUCUUCAUCAUAAAAACCCUUGAUAACAAGAGCGACUUCUUUAGCAGCCUCUGAAUUAGCUUUCUCGCAGAAAGAUUCUAUUGCGUUAAGCAAAACCAUCUGCCGAGGAGCUCCAUCAUCUUCUUGCAUCAUCAUCAACGCCACGAGAUAUUUCUUCUUCUUGAGAGUUUCUUUAGCGAAUCCCUUCCCUUGGCCAGCAAAAAGAGCAGAGAACAAGGCGUCCAUCCUCUCCUGAGGAGUGGCGGAGUUUGACGAUAUGGCGGUUCUGAGUUGGGAAGGAGUUGAACCGUUGUUAAGAAGCUCUUUUAUCUCACUCACAAGCUUUUCAUGAGCAUUUUCAGGGAUCUUGCCAUGGCCAUUCUCAUGUAGAUUCUUCAGUGGCUGCUGCACUUCAAGCGACUUCUUCUCCACAACUGCUGGCGUCUUCUCUUCCAUCGUAGUCAGCAUCACCAUAUCUGCUGUUGCAGCGCUGAGCUGUUCUUUCAUUCGUUUUUCAGCAGCCUCCCGCGAUGUAUCUGUUUUGCCCACUGGACAUCAUCAUCAUCAUCUUCUUCUUCUUCACUGUCCGCUUGCUCAUUUUCAUCAGACUGGCUUGGAGGUGGGGAAUGAUCUUUCUUCUUCAAAACUUUCUCUUUCGAACUACCAGCAGUUGAUUUCUUCUUAGAGGCAGCCUCCUUCUUAAGUUUUCUUCUAUCUCCUCAUCAGCCGCUUCACCUUCCUUCAGCCUUUCUUCUCAGCUCUCCUCAUAGAUUUCUUGUCUUUCGAAGAUUUCUUUUGUUCUGGAGGAUGCUUCAGAAUAAAAGCAGUGAGUUUGUCCCUCAUAUCGACAUCCGAGAUAAACCCACAAGCCGCACAUUUCAGCUGGAGCAUCUGCGUCUUGGUGAUAAGUAUCUCGGUUUCGGGGUUUCCGCAUCCAUAACACUGGACAUACUUUUUGAUAAAGUUCUCAAGAAGCCCCGCAAGCUUGGAAGUGUCGUGGGCUCCGUUAACCAAUGAGGUUCCCGUCUUCUCAUCAAACUUGGACUGCGCACCCAGCUCACAGCCAAAGUACUUGGUGGUGUAAGCAGCAGGUCUCCCCAAGGCCUUGGCGAUUUCAACCAUGUUAACAACAUUAGUCUUGAUGCCGUUACCUCUACCUUCGAUCUUGGUCAUCAUCCUCCUCGGCAUCUUGUACCUGUAGAAGGCAUCGUCACGGUUGGAGGCACCAAUGUUUUGUAAAGCCAUUUUGAUUUUGAUUACAAAAUAGUGUGGGGGUGGGGGGGAAUGUCAGAAGAGACAGAGAUACUGAACGCUGGAACUGCUUGUGUUGUUCAAGGCCUCGAAAGAAGAUCCAAGACGAGUGGACUUCUUCCUGGAAGUAGGACAGUACUCUCCUAAAAGCUGUAUAGACGAUUGAAAGAGAGAAGCCUGUUCAGACAUAAAAGAUUCUUCACACUCCACUUUCGACAAAAUGUAAAACCCCAGCAGCUUUAACUGCCAACUUCCUGUAAACACACAAUAAAGACAAAGAUUCAGCCGCAAAUGAAUAAACAAACAUACGGAUAUUUAUGCGUUUCAAUUAUAAACAACAAGGCACAGAGAUCUAACCGGAAAAUUCAUAAAUCUUGAAACACACACAACACACAAAAAUUUCAAAGAAGCAAUAACAGGAAGGAAACAAAGAAAAGUUCCGAGAUUUACAAUAUAAAAAGACACUACAUCAUCAUCAAAUCAAAUACAUAUCAUCAACAUACACAAUUAAACAACGCCCCACCCUUGUCUCAAUGAAACAAUCAAUUUCUAACGAUUCCAAUAAAAAAAAUUCUUGAGAAUAACUAUGGGCCAUUCAAAUUGAAUCUCUAUACUCCAGAUUUUUCGGAUAACAAUCGGAUCAGAUUGUUUGAUUAAUCAAAUAUUAAGUUAAAUCGUAAUCGCAAAGUAGUAUCAGCAGCACACGAACCAAGUACCUCGUAAGAUGGACGAACGAAAAGCUACGAUUGUCUCUCGUGCGUUUGAGAGAGGAAGAUGAACGCUUGCGCCGAUGAAAGAAUGAGAAAAGGCACUUAAGCUAGAAACGUUUUCUGUGUAUUUAUAUAUAAAUGACAAAGGAAGGAGGCUGGAAACGCGUGAUUGUGGUUCAUCCUUUAGGGCAAACUCAUCGUGUCGUGUCCAAUUAUUUAUUUGUUCUCUUUCCACAAUUUUUUUUAUCUAUAUCCAUUUUUUUUUUUUUUCGUUUUCUAUUUCAAUUAAUUAUUUUACUGACCAAUAAUGAUCUACAAGAACGUCCAAUUCAGCAUUGAAAAUCAACUAAUUAACAAGAGUUUUAACGUACAUCUGUGUAGAUAUUUUCAAUAUUAUAUUUUGUUUUAUAUAUUAUGUAACUCUUUAAUUUUGUUGUUUUCUUAAAUUUUUAAUAUAUAGUGAUUGAUUUUAAUAAUUUGUUAUUAAUUAUUUAAAUUUUUGAAAUCGGUAUAAUAAAUACAUAAUUUGAAAAUAAUCAAAUAGAUUAUUUUAUUCAAAAUAUAUUUUUAAAACUAAAUUCUACAAUUUGCAUAAAAUUUAUUUAUUUAUAUUAUAGAAAGGAUAUUCAUUUAGGAUAAUUUAUUAUUUCAUAUUUUGUUUAUAAAAAAUAUUUUAACAUCUAUCAAUUCAAUAUACUAUGCGAAUUAUAAAUAACUAUAUUGUUCUGUUUAAAUAAUAUAACUCUAUUUUUUUAGUAAUUUUUAUACUUAGCAGCAUUUACGAGAAUACUUUAAAAAAAUUUAUCGAUAUAUAACAAUUUUUUGGAUGUUAUGGUAUUAAGUUUUCGGAUUCUUUGUUGGGUUUUUUUUUACAACAAACAUUUACAAAUUCAUGUUGAUUCUGUAAACCAAAUUGGUAACCCCGCAUCCAUGUGAACGACGAAAGACGGUUGUUUUCUAGAAUUGCGUGCUAAGCUAUCCGCCCAUAGGUUGUCCGUCCGAGGUACAUAAACGAUGUAUGAGUUUGGGAAACUUCUUUUUAAAAGCUUAAUGUCUUCCAAGUAACUUUCAAAUGCUGACCAUUCUUCUAGUUCCGAAACCAUCUUCACCAAUUGAGAACAAAUUAAUGCCUCCACAUCUGAAUGAAGAGGUGAAAGACAAUGCCCUUACAUUCCUUGCCCCUAAUAAACCAUCAAAACCCGAUAAAGUACUAUACCAGCCUUGCACUGAAAAUAAAUCCAGAUCUUUCUAUGAACCAUCUAUGAAGCACCAUCGUUCCGAAGUCGGUAUUGUGGGUCCGGUUUGUACCUGAUGCUCUCUCGUUUGAUCCUUUACUACAUGUGCCUCAGUCCAAACUGUUGAUUCCAAUUCUGUUAUUUUAAGUGUGUCCCUUUGAUCAAUAUCCAGAUUGCUAAACACUUUGUUAUUCUGACCUUACCAUAUAUACCAUAAUAUCUAUGCAAAUUGGUGGUCAUCCAUCCUUGAAUUGACUCUCCAAAAAAGAUGAUCCAUGUUAGCGAAAAAAACUAAUAGGAAAAAUAUUGGGAUUUGAUGGUAUCUUAGAUAAAACCCACACUUCAUGUGCUGGAGGAUAUUCAGAAAACACAUGGUUUAUUGAUUUUUCCUGAUCUCCGCAUCGAGCACAACAUAUAUCCUCUUAUAUUCCUCUCGCUUUUAGAUUUUUCAUUACCGCUAUACAUCCUGAAAGGAUUUGCCAUAAAAAAAUGUUUUAUCUUCGGAGGACACCGCACUUUUCAGCAUAAAUCUUUUAGUAUAUCCACUGUAAGACCAUUAAAUUAUAGUGGAUUUUUUUUUUAUCAGGAUAGACCCGUUCCACUUGAUAACCUGAUUGAACCGAGUAUUUCUCAUUGUUAGUGAAAUGCCAUCAAUUCUUAUUUUCCAUCUGAUUUCUAUUUAAAGGGAUACUUUCAAUAAUUUUUACAUCAUGAGGAUCCACCAAAGUCUUGAUUGCCUGUAAAUUCCAUGAUCGGGAUUCCGAGUUAAUGAGAGAAUCCACUGUGAGGUCCGACUAACUGUUUGAAGGUUUUUGUUUGCUGGUCUCGGGCGAGUGGUUGGGAUCCAAGGAUCAUUUCAUACUGAAUAAGAUGAACAUGUUCCCACUCUUUUAAUUAGUCCUUUACAAACCAAAAAUCUUGCAGAAAUAAUACUCCUCCAGCCAUAUGACGGGGAGUAUGAACGGAUAGGUUCUAGGGGUGAAGCAUUCUUAUAGUACCGUCCUUUGAAGACUCUUGAAAAAGAGUAUUUGGCUUCUCAAUCAGCCUCCACAACUGCCUUCCAAGCAUCGUCGUGUUAAAAUCAAUAAGAUCCUUAAAGCCUAGUCUACAAUUAUCUUUAGGUAUGCAUAAUUUAUCCCAAUGCAUGCAUGUUGUGCUUCCUCCUGGACUCCACCGAAAUUGAGCUACUGCACUCGUUAACUUUUUAAUUGUAGCCUUUGCUAACCAAUAAACAGACAUCACAUGGUUUGGCAAGACCAUAAUCACCGAUUUAAUAAUCAACUCUUUUCCUCCUUUAGUAAAAAAUCAAAAAGUCCAUCCACUAACCUUAUUAUUCAAGCGGUCUUGUACAAAGCCAAACACCUUAGAUCAUUCAAGGCUUUCUGGUAAACCUAAAUAAGAUCCCAUUCCUCCUAUAUUCUGGAUUCCCAAAAUAUCUCUCAAUUUUUGAUGACUGGAUUCUUCAAUUUUAUGUCCAAAUUGAAUUGAAGAUUUCUGGGAAUUAAUUUGUUGCCCUAAGACGGUCUCAUAUUCCUUUAAAAUCCUGGGAAUGGUUUGACAUUCCUCCUUCUUUGGCUUACAAAAGAAAAAACUAUCAUCUGCAAAUAGCAAAUGAGAGAUUGUUGGACAAGCUCUUGCUACCUUCACACCAGUUAAUUAUUUCACUAUCUCCGCUUUCUUAAUAUUCAUAAUUAAUGCCUCAAUGCACAUAAUAGAUAAAUAAGGAGACAAAGGAUCCCCUUGAUGUAAGGGAUAUACAUUCCAGCAUUAAAUUGAUCCAACGAGGAUCCAAUCCCAUUUUAUGAAGAAGAGCCUCAAUAAAAAAUAUCCGUUUUGAUUGCCAUAAACUUGUUUUGACAAGACUUAUGUGUUCUCAGUCCAUGAAACAUUUCCUGCGCUAUAAAAAUAUUAUCCGAUAUUAACCUGCCCGCCACAAAAGCCGAUUGUGUCUCCGAGAUUAGUCGUGGUAGGCAAACUUUCAAUCUUUGACACAAAACUUUCGAGAAGAUCUUGUAACCAACAUUACAUAGACUUAUUGGCCUCAGUUAUGUCAUCCUUAUAAGUCUCUCUAUUUUCAGAAUCAAGCAAAUAUUAGAAAUAUUUAAACGUGGAUCCAUAUUUUCUCUAACCAGAAAAUUAUUCACCAUCUCAACCACAUCCUUCUUAAUAACAUGCAAGGAAUGCUGAAAAAAGAGAGUUGUCAUUCCAUCCGGACCUGGCGCUUUCUCCGGAUGCAUCAUGAAUAAAUCUUGUUGAACCUCUUCCUCCGUUGCUAUUCUUAAUAAUAUUUGAUUAUUUGUCAUUAAAUUAAGAUUUGAAAAUAUAAUAUUUUUUUUUUAAUUUUUACAAAAUAAUUUAUUUUUAAUGUUGUAUUUUUAAAGAAUAUACUUUAGCAUCUAUGAUUUUAAGCUUUGUAUAAUUUGAAAUAUUAACUUUUGAGUUUAGAAUAUUUAUUUUCAAAAUUGUGUAUUUUGUCAAGAAAAAAUUAGAAAACUACAAAACUAUAUUUUAGAAGAUUAUAUGACUUUUAAAUUUUUUUUUGUUACUACAUUUAUUCACUAUUUUAUAAAAACAUAUUUGAAUUUUUGUUAACAUUUUUAAUAUUUUAAUAAAAAUAAUCUGUUAUAAUUAAAAUAAACAUUAAAUUUUAAAUUAAAAUUUCAAAAUUUCUAAUAAAAUGUUUAGUAAAUAAAACAUCAAGUAAAGGUUAGUUACAUAUUAUAUUUUGUAUAUAAUAAUUUUGAGAUCAUAUAUUUUUACAGUUUCAAAAUAAAUAAGAAGCUAAUAUAUAGUUAUAGUUAUAAAAGUCUAACUUAUGCUAAUAAAUUUAUCUUUUGUAUAGAGAUAUUACAUCGUUUAAAAAUUUAACCCGCUUUAAUGGUGAAUGAGAAUCUGUUUAAUGGAACUAUUAAAAAGGUUAAUUUACCAAUUUAAUAUAAUUUUUUAUAUUUAAUUCAUAUAACACAUUAUUUUAAUAUAAUAUAGACUAUAAUUAUAAAAUUUAUUAAAAUAUCAUAAAUAAUUAUUUGCUUUUAUAGUAAAAUUUUAAUUAAUAUUAAUUUAUAAUAAUAUUAUAAUACUAAUUACAAAGUUAAUUAAUAUAUUAUUUUAUUAAAAUUAUUUACAUUUUCGCAUGAUUUUGUUAGAUUUUCUCAACAGCUUUUGUUAUAACUAAAAAUAAAAUUUAAAUUUUUAAUAACAAUUAAUUAAUUAUUAAAAAAUUUUAGAAAUAUUAUAUAUUUGAUUGGUUAAUGUAAAUAAUAAUAUAUGUUAGAUGGGUCAUACGUGACAACUCUAGGGUGUAUAGAGGUGCUGUUUAAGCUACUGGGAAACAAGUUAAAAAUGCUUUGGAGUGUGAACUGCAUGCAGGCAAUAUUGACUGCUUUGCAACAUGCUUGGAGUAGUGAACACAUGAACGUUAUUGUCGAAAGUGAUUGUCAAAAAGCUAUUGAGAUAUUGAAUAAUAUGAAGUCACUACAAGAAAACAUAUUUUUUACAAGGGCAAUAUACGUUGUAAAUUCGUCGUAAACGGAGUGUUACGACGAAUUAACCUCGAAAGACGUUUCGUCGUAAAACUUCCGUCGUAACGGAGGUUUCGUCGUAAACAACUUGUUACGUUUACGACGAAAUAUAUUCCUCGUAAAGCGCAGGGCAUCGUUUCAUCGUAAAAGAGACGUAAUAUUCCGUGGUAAAGUCCACGUAACGGUUUCGAUGUAAAGCAGACGUAAAUAUUUUCGUUGUAAAGAACACGUAAACGUUUCGAUGUAAAACCCUCGUAAAUCUUUCGACAUUAAUCACUCGUAAACAUUUACAUGGAGUUUACAUCGAUUCUUAUUAAUAUAUAAUAAAUUUGAAUAAUUUUUUUAACCUCAAAUAUAAAUUUGAAUUUAUUUAAAAUUCAGAACUUAAAAUAAUUUUAAUUUUAAAACGAAAUAUGAAAAUAAAAACAUAUUUUAAAAAAGCAUUUAAAAGUCAUACAAUAAUAUUUAAAUUCAUAAUACAAACCGAAAUAUAAAAAAAACUACAUAUCAUCGAAGUAGUCGGUGGGGUUGCUCGGCUGUUGACGGGUUGGAUCGGACUCUUGGGGAUCUCGUACUAGCAACCCAAGAGCGGCGCGUCUCUCACUCAACAUUCUCUAAAUAACCGGGUUUCCCACGGCCAUCACGUCUAGCAAAUCCUCAAGAGAGUCUAAACAACCUGCUGGCUAUCCAUUCGAGCUUUCAUCUGAGAAGUCUCUUCAUCCCGUCUCGAAGUGUAUGACGAAGUUGCCCUUGCAACUUCGUUAACAGAGCCUAUACCGACUAUCCGUCCCUUCUCUUUAGGAGCCACCUAUAAAAUUAAAACAUAUAUUAAUAUAGUUAAUUAUGUUAAAAUAUUAAAAAUAAUGUAAACAAAAAUUUUAAGUUGUACCUCUUCGAAGAUUCUGUCGGCGUCUUCGGUGGACAAUGUGACGGGUAAUCCAUCGGGAGACUCUUGGGUUAGUUGCGUCUCCCGUUCUUCAAUCCGAGAAGCCAUUGCUUGGAAGAGUUUCUCAGAUGCAGGAUCCACAAAAACUCCGUCGGAUGUGGCGUGAGUCAUCUUCAAUAGGUCAGACAGAGAUGGUAAGACUCCCGUCUUCUCAAACUACAAAAAAAAAUUAAAUUAAAUAUUAAAAAUUAAAUUAAUUGAAAAUUUUAAAAUAAAUAUUUAAAACAAAAUUUACAGCUUCUAGACGGAUUCCUGCAUGAGGUUUUUGUCCUGUUCUGUGAAUCAUGGGCAAAUGACCAUCUUUAUCCUUCAUUCUUCGAGAAACCGAGCACGAAUUGGCCUUUUCGAUCAAAGAGGGGUGCUUCCAAUAGGCGAUGAGGCCAUCCCACACAUCCUUCGUGAGCUCAGUGGGCUUUCCCUCAUACCCGUAGAUCUCCCACUUGUCCUUCCAAUCGGAGACUGUGUUGCAGAGGCGGAUCUUUGUCUUUGCAACGAAUUCCGCCUUCACCCUCUCAGUGAUUCCCAAAGACCAAUGCCACUUUUGCUGAAACACAAAAAUUUUGAAGAAAUUAUAAUUAAUAAUAAAUAUUUAAAAAAUAUAUAUAUAUUUAAAAGUGGAAAUUUAAUUAAAUUUAAAAAUCUUACCGCAAAACAUUUAAACCAAGUGAUCUUAACGUGAUUUAGUGUCUUGCUCCAGUUCGGAUAUGCCCCAUCGUAAUAACCCUUAAUCGUCUUCGAAACGCUCUGGCUAACACGGUUGUUAGCCCCAAACCUGAAAAAAAACAAUAUAACCGUUAGAAAAUAAAAAUAAUUUAAAUUUUAAUGUAAUAAAAAUUAAUAACUUACCAAUAAGUUCCUCGGGGUCUAUCGGGGUCUAGAACAUCCAAACCCUCCCCACCAGGCUGGACAAGCAAAUCCUCCACCGUAUAUCUCGCGAAUGGGGCAUAUGAAGGCACACGCAAAUCCGGAUGAACUGCACCUUCUGGGACAGGCUGAGGUGCAGCCGCUGGAGGAGGAGGUGGAGGCAUCUGCGGUGGAGGAGGAGGACUCCAAGCAACUCUCUGAGAAGGCUGAGAGUCUGGAACUGCAUCGGAAGACGAUGGACCGGAAGAAGAUGUACCGGAACCAUCGCCAAACAACUGCACAUAAGUAGGUGCUGCUGAUUUCCUCCUAGGAGCCAUCUAAAAAAAUUAAAAUAAAUUUAAUCAAUUACGACAUAAUUAAAAAAUUAUUCCGUUACCUAACUAAUCACCUAAACUAGUAUUCCGUCACCUAACUAAUCACCUAACUAAUUACCUAACUAAUCACCUAAACUAAUUACCUAACUAAUUAAUCACCUAAACUAACUUUAAAAAAAAAAAAAAGAGAGAAGAAAGUUUACCUUAGAGGGAGAGCAAAGGAGUUUGGGAGGAAUGAACGAGGUAGCCUAGCUCUCGGCGUCUCAAUAUAUAGAUAACGAUUCGUCGUAAACGCGACGUAAUAUUACGACGAAGUUACCAGGCCCGCGUUUUUCCAUUUACGACGAAGCUACCAGGCCCGUGUUUUUCCAUUUACGAAC